rnacentral:rRNA from 1 species
UACGUAGGGUGCAAGCGUUGUUCGGAAUUACUGGGCGUAAAGCGCGCGCAGGCGGUUUCUCAAGUCAGUGGUGAAAGCCCGGAGCUCAACUCCGGAACUGCCAUUGAAACUGUGAAACUUGAGGACGAGAGAGGUGAGUGGAAUUCCCAGUGUAGAGGUGAAAUUCGUAGAUAUUGGGAGGAACACCGAUGGCGAAGGCGGCUCACUGGCUCGUUUCUGACGCUCAGGCGCGACAGCGUGGGGAUCAAACAGG